rnacentral:misc_RNA from 1 species
GAUGAAGAACGUAGCGAAAUGCGAUAAGUAAUGUGAAUUGCAGAAUUCCAGUGAGUCAUCGAAUCUUUGAACGCACAUUGCGCCCUUUGGUAUUCCGAAGGGCAUGCCUGUUCGAGCGUCAUUAUCACCCCUCAAGCCCUCGGCUUGGUGUUGGACGGUUUGGUGGAGGCCCCCUCGGGGGCUCCUGCCCCUCCCAAAGACAAUGACGGCGGCCUCGUUGGACCCCCGGUACACUGAGUUCUUCACGGGACACGUAUCGGACACAUGGGUUUACGGGACACGGUCUGCCUCCCCUCAGGGAGAAUCUUUCUAAGGUUGACCUCGGAUCAGGUAGGGAUACCCGCUGAACUUAAGCAUAUCAAUAAGCGGAGGA